AGGUCCGUGGUGUAACCGGUAGCACGGCGAGCUCCAACCUCGCUGGUCCGGGUCGAUCCCUGGCGGACCUG
rnacentral:tRNA from 1 species